rnacentral:piRNA from 1 species
UACCGGAUCCGAGGGUUGACAAGUGGU